rnacentral:rRNA from 1 species
GGGUUGUGAGGUUAAGCGACUAAGCGUACACGGUGGAUGCCCUGGCAGUCAGAGGCGAUGAAGGACGUGCUAAUCUGCGAAAAGCGUCGGUAAGGUGAUAUGAACCGUUAUAACCGGCGAUGUCCGAAUGGGGAAACCCAGUGCAAUUCGUUGCACUAUCGUUAACUGAAUACAUAGGUUAACGAGGCGAACCGGGGGAACUGAAACAUCUAAGUACCCCGAGGAAAAGAAAUCAACCGAGAUUCCCCCAGUAGCGGCGAGCGAACGGGGAGCAGCCCAGAGUCUGAAUCAGCUUGUGUGUUAGUGGAACGGUCUGGAAAGUCCGACGGUACAGGGUGAUAGUCCCGUACACCAAAAUGCACAGGUUGUGAACUCGAAGAGUAGGGCGGGACACGUGGUAUCCUGUCUGAAUAUGGGGGGACCAUCCUCCAAGGCUAAAUACUCCUGACUGACCGAUAGUGAACCAGUACCGUGAGGGAAAGGCGAAAAGAACCCCGGCGAGGGGAGUGAAAAAGAACCUGAAACCGUGUACGUACAAGCAGUGGGAGCACCUUCGGGUGUGACUGCGUACCUUUUGUAUAAUGGGUCAGCGACUUAUAUUCUGUAGCAAGGUUAACCGUAUAGGGGAGCCGCAGGGAAACCGAGUCUUAACUGGGCGUUAAGUUGCAGGGUAUAGACCCGAAACCCGGUGAUCUAGCCAUGGGCAGGUUGAAGGUUGGGUAACACUAACUGGAGGACCGAACCGACUAAUGUUGAAAAAUUAGCGGAUGACUUGUGGCUGGGGGUGAAAGGCCAAUCAAACCGGGAGAUAGCUGGUUCUCCCCGAAAGCUAUUUAGGUAGCGCCUCGUGAACUCAUCUUCGGGGGUAGAGCACUGUUUCGGCUAGGGGGUCAUCCCGACUUACCAACCCGAUGCAAACUACGAAUACCGAAGAAUGUUAUCACGGGAGACACACGGCGGGUGCUAACGUCCGUCGUGAAGAGGGAAACAACCCAGACCGCCAGCUAAGGUCCCAAAGUCAUGGUUAAGUGGGAAACGAUGUGGGAAGGCACAGACAGCCAGGAUGUUGGCUUAGAAGCAGCCAUCAUUUAAAGAAAGCGUAAUAGCUCACUGGUCGAGUCGGCCUGCGCGGAAGAUGUAACGGGGCUAAACCAUGCACCGAAGCUGCGGCAGCGACACUAUGUGUUGUUGGGUAGGGGAGCGUUCUGUAAGCCUGCGAAGGUGACCUGUGAGGGUUGCUGGAGGUAUCAGAAGUGCGAAUGCUGACAUAAGUAACGAUAAAGCGGGUGAAAAGCCCGCUCGCCGGAAGACCAAGGGUUCCUGUCCAACGUUAAUCGGGGCAGGGUGAGUCGACCCCUAAGGCGAGGCCGAAAGGCGUAGUCGAUGGGAAACAGGUUAAUAUUCCUGUACUUGGUGUUACUGCGAAGGGGGGACGGAGAAGGCUAUGUUAGCCGGGCGACGGUUGUCCCGGUUUAAGCAUGUAGGCUGGUUGUCCAGGCAAAUCCGGAUAAUCAAGGCUGAGGUGUGAUGACGAGGCACUACGGUGCUGAAGUAACAAAUGCCCUGCUUCCAGGAAAAGCCUCUAAGCAUCAGGUAACAUUAAAUCGUACCCCAAACCGACACAGGUGGUCAGGUAGAGAAUACCAAGGCGCUUGAGAGAACUCGGGUGAAGGAACUAGGCAAAAUGGUGCCGUAACUUCGGGAGAAGGCACGCUGGUGUGUAGGUGAAGUCCCUGCGGAUGGAGCUGAGACCAGUCGAAGAUACCAGCUGGCUGCAACUGUUUAUUAAAAACACAGCACUGUGCAAACACGAAAGUGGACGUAUACGGUGUGACGCCUGCCCGGUGCCGGAAGGUUAAUUGAUGGGGUUAUCCGUAAGGAGAAGCUCUUGAUCGAAGCCCCGGUAAACGGCGGCCGUAACUAUAACGGUCCUAAGGUAGCGAAAUUCCUUGUCGGGUAAGUUCCGACCUGCACGAAUGGCGUAAUGAUGGCCAGGCUGUCUCCACCCGAGACUCAGUGAAAUUGAACUCGCUGUGAAGAUGCAGUGUACCCGCGGCAAGACGGAAAGACCCCGUGAACCUUUACUAUAGCUUGACACUGAACAUUGAGCCUUGAUGUGUAGGAUAGGUGGGAGGCUUUGAAGCGUGGACGCCAGUCUGCGUGGAGCCAACCUUGAAAUACCACCCUUUAAUGUUUGAUGUUCUAACGUUGGCCCCUGACCGGGGUUGCGGACAGUGUCUGGUGGGUAGUUUGACUGGGGCGGUCUCCUCCCAAAGCGUAACGGAGGAGCACGAAGGUUAGCUAAUCCUGGUCGGACAUCAGGAGGUUAGUGCAAUGGCAUAAGCUAGCUUGACUGCGAGCGUGACGGCGCGAGCAGGUGCGAAAGCAGGUCAUAGUGAUCCGGUGGUUCUGAAUGGAAGGGCCAUCGCUCAACGGAUAAAAGGUACUCCGGGGAUAACAGGCUGAUACCGCCCAAGAGUUCAUAUCGACGGCGGUGUUUGGCACCUCGAUGUCGGCUCAUCACAUCCUGGGGCUGAAGUAGGUCCCAAGGGUAUGGCUGUUCGCCAUUUAAAGUGGUACGCGAGCUGGGUUUAGAACGUCGUGAGACAGUUCGGUCCCUAUCUGCCGUGGGCGCUGGAGAAUUGAGGGGGGCUGCUCCUAGUACGAGAGGACCGGAGUGGACGCAUCACUGGUGUUCGGGUUGUCAUGCCAAUGGCACUGCCCGGUAGCUAAAUGCGGAAGAGAUAAGUGCUGAAAGCAUCUAAGCACGAAACUUGCCCCGAGAUGAGUUCUCCCUGAGACUUUAAGUCUCCUGAAGGAACGUUGAAGACGACGACGUUGAUAGGCCGGGUGUGUAAGCGCAGCGAUGCGUUGAGCUAACCGGUACUAAUGAACCGUGAGGCUUAACCUUACAACGCCGAAG